AUAAUUUCUCUUUGUUGCCAAGUAUAAUACUCCAUAUGGGGGCCUCAAGCACUUUUUAAUGAGAGCAUAUAGCUUCUUCAAAGAGGUCACUGAGUAGGGGAUAUCUGUCAUCAGAAUAACAUCAUACCCGCCUUCACCAUGAUCUAUUUCACUAGCCCUCUCCCAUGCACGGCUUCCAGAAAGCUUUCUUGAUCGCCUUGAGGAAGUUUCCUGA
rnacentral:misc_RNA from 1 species